AGGUGGCCGGGUGAGUUUGGGAAAAGACUGGCUUCAGUCUUUUCUGCCACAGCUUCCAACAUCAAACUUUUUCAGGAUUCCACUCGCUUCCUCUAUUUCUUCCACAGGUCACUUUGCGACAGGGAUGUUUCUUUAGAUUGGUGCUAAAAACAUCACUAUCGUCUGCACGGACUGUACAGCCACGGUUGAAUCAAGCCAUUUUCAGAGAUGAUUUGCAAAGUGCUCAGGGCCACAGCAGACAGACAGUGCCUUGCUCAGGACACAAGGACUGAAGAAAGGAAGGCGCCUUGAGAAGUGACAUGGUGCCCCUCACAUAAGCGGGAGGCAGAGUCUCAGCAGCCCGCUGUCACCAAGGGCUUGAGAAACACAGCUACUGGGCUUGGGUACCGGGGAAACUCCUGCUUUUAGAAUACAGCCCUUCAUAAAUAUGAUACUUUCCAGUAUCAC
rnacentral:lncRNA from 1 species